UAGGGAAUCUUCGGCAAUGGACGAAAGUCUGACCGAGCAACGCCGCGUGAGUGAAGAAGGUUUUCGGAUCGUAAAACUCUGUUGUUAGAGAAGAACAAGGAUGAGAGUAGAAUGUUCAUCCCUUGACGGUAUCUAACCAGAAAGCCACGGCUAACUACGUGCCAGCAGCCGCGGUAAUACGUAGGUGGCAAGCGUUGUCCGGAUUUAUUGGGCGUAAAGCGAGCGCAGGCGGUUUCUUAAGUCUGAUGUGAAAGCCCCCGGCUCAACCGGGGAGGGUCAUUGGAAACUGGGAAACUUGAGUGCAGAAGAGGAGAGUGGAAUUCCAUGUGUAGCGGUGAAAUGCGUAGAUAUAUGGAGGAACACCAGUGGCGAAGGCGGCUCUCUGGUCUGUAACUGACGCUGAGGCUCGAAAGCGUGGGGAGCAAACGGG
rnacentral:rRNA from 1 species